CGCCCUUUGGGGUGAGGUAGUAGGUUGUAUAGUUUGGGGCUGUGCCCUGCUCUGGGAUAACUAUACAACCUACUGUCUUUCCUGAAGUGGCUG
ensembl:miRNA